GACGAACGCUGGCGGCGUGCUUAACACAUGCAAGUCGAGCGAGAGAAAUUCCUUCGGGAAGGACUCUAGCGGCGGACGGGUGAGUAACACGUGGGUAACCUGCCUCAUAGAGGGGAAUAGCCUUUCGAAAGGAAGAUUAAUACCGCAUAAGAUUGUAGUAUCGCAUGAUGCAGCAAUUAAAGGAGUAAUCCGCUAUGAGAUGGACCCGCGUCGCAUUAGCUAGUUGGUGAGGUAACGGCUCACCAAGGCGACGAUGCGUAGCCGACCUGAGAGGGUGAUCGGCCACAUUGGGACUGAGACACGGCCCAGACUCCUACGGGAGGCAGCAGUGGGGAAUAUUGCACAAUGGGGGAAACCCUGAUGCAGCAACGCCGCGUGAGUGAUGACGGUCUUCGGAUUGUAAAACUCUGUCUUCAGGGACGAUAAUGACGGUACCUGAGGAGGAAGCCACGGCUAACUACGUGCCAGCCGCCGCCGUAAGAC
rnacentral:rRNA from 1 species